CUCAGACUCAGAUGAAAGAAACUCUGAUGGUGCUGUGACCCAGAAUAAAACUAAUAUUUCAACAGCAAGUGCCACAGUUUCUGCUGCCACUAGUACUGAAAGCAUUUCUACUAGGAAAGUAUUGCCAAUGUCCAUUGCUAGACAUAAUAUAGCAGGAACAACACAUUCAGGUGCUGAAAAAGAUGUUGAUGUUAGUGAAGAUUCACCUCCUCCCCUACCUGAAAGAACUCCUGAAUCGUUUGUGUUAGCAAGUGAACAUAAUACACCUGUAAGAUCGGAAUGGAGUGAACUUCAAAGUCAGGAACGAUCUGAACAAAAAAAGUCUGAAGGCUUGAUAACCUCUGAAAAUGAGAAAUGUGAUCAUCCAGCGGGAGGUAUUCACUAUGAAAUGUGCAUAGAAUGUCCACCUACUUUCAGUGACAAGAGAGAACAAAUAUCAGAAAAUCCAACAGAAGCCACAGAUAUUGGUUUUGGUAAUCGAUGUGGAAAACCCAAAGGACCAAGAGAUCCACCUUCAGAAUGGACAUGAUUCAGGGAGCUAGAAGACACUUUAAGUUAUACUGGAAAAUUCAGGUGCCACUGAAAGCCAGAUUUAUAGUAUUCCAUCUUUAAUAUGUGGGACUAACAGCAGUGUAGAUUGUUACCUUAAUAUUUUUUGCUGGGACCAUCUACCUGCCUUAUACUACACUUAGGAAAAAGUAUUACAUAUGGUUUAUUUUGAAACUUCAAGUAUUAUUGCCUUAAUGUCUCUUAACCCUGUUACACGCUGCUUGUAGACAUGUUAAUAUAGUAAUACCUUUAUGAUAUAUUGAGUUUAAGGACUACUCUUUUUCUGUUUUAUCAUGUAUGCAUUAUUUUGUAUAUGUACAGGGCAAGUAGGUAUAUAAUUUGAUAAAGUUGCAAUUGAAAUAUUAUUAACAGAAGAUGUAAGAAAUUUCUGCAUGGUCUAAAUCUUUGUGUACUUUAUUUGUAAAUUAUUUGCCCUGGAGUUUUAGAAAAUAGUUUCUGAAUUUUAAACUUGCUGGAUUCAUGCAGCCAGCUUUGCAGGUUAUCAGAGAUCAAAGAUUGUAAUAAUAAUUUUGUAAAUUGUAAGCAAAAAGUUAUUUUUAUAUUAUAUACAGUCUAAUUGUUCAUCCUAAUUGUUCCUGUUUUCAUCUAGUCAGAGAUUCAGUAAGUGCCUUGGAACAAUAUUGAAUUCUCUUAGCUUGUGUGUGUUUCUUUAAUAUUUGAACUCAAGUGGGAUUAGAAGACUAUCAAAAUACAUGUAUGUUUCAGGAUAUUUGACCUGUCAUUAAAAAAAACAAACAGUUU
rnacentral:lncRNA from 1 species